rnacentral:lncRNA from 1 species
ACAUAAUUAGCCAUUAACUAUAAUACAAUAUGUUUAUAACACAAAGUGUAUGAUUAGAUUUUUUCUAAAACUUCACAGUUAUUUUUUUUUUUGGCAAUCAGUUUUGAAAUUUCAGUAAUUUCUAUAUUAUAAAUGCUUUUGAAGAUGUUCACGCUUCAAGAGGUUAUUUAUCGAAUUAAAUUUCAGUUUGUUUAUGUGUUCUAGCAUGUUUAUAUGAUUUAGCAUAAACAAUAUUGGUUAUAUAUUAUUCAUGUAAGUAAUAGAGAUUCUAAUAUGCUUCCGUUGUGAAUAGAUGUUUCCUAACAAUAACAACACAUGAGGCACAUAGAUGACUAAUCGUUGAACGUCUUGGUCGUCCCUUGACGUUUCAUUUUAAACUCUAGCUUCACCUAAGUCAUUUUUGAGGUAUCACAUUCUCCCCUACUUGGACAACAUUCGCCCUCGAAUGACACUUAUUACUCUCCGAACACUUCCAAGAGUAGAGAUUCAGCUAACAACUCAUGACCAUACCUUAUAACACAUUAUAUGAUACAAAAACAAGGAAAACGUCAAUUUCACAUAAUCAAGAGAUUCACAACACAAAAAGAAACUAGAAUAAAUUCUACGACUCAUCAUGCCAUAAAACUCACAUCAUUCAUUCCAAAUAGAAAAAACUCAUUUUAUAUUCAUUAUGAUGCUCAUGUACAUCAGUUCUAACCAUAUUACAACAAUUUUCAACCAAAGAAUAAAUUAGCCAAUUCUUCAAAAAUUUUACAGUGAGGAGGCAGCCUUACAGUGAUUUAUUCUACAUUUUUCAAAAAUACAACUUUUAAGUAAUUCAUGAUCGAAACAUGAUAAUAUGCAAGAUAAAAUCAUAUAAACACAUCUUACAAUAUAAUCAUUGUUUUAUCGAAAUUGGAAUUUUUUUUUGUCUUUUUUGGUGGAGAUUUUCGACUUUUCUAGAGUUGCCACUUAAUUUUUGAGAAAAAUUGAGAUAAACAUUGUUUUAAAAAAGACUUAACAGAAAAAUCAUUUGAAAAUAAUCAAAGGGGUUCGGAAAUUCCUAUUAAUGUCUUAGGAAGGUUUUGAAAACACCUAAGACGUUCAGCUUAAUUUAGCUUCCGGCAACUAACUAAAUUUGGCUUAAAUUGAUUGGUGUAGAAACAUUUUUAAAAGUUAUUUAAACAUGAAUGUUAAACUCAUUUAAGAUUGUUACGAAAGUGAAAACUAUUUAUCUAAGUAAAUUUUAAUUUUUGUAAAAUCCUUUAAAGAUAUUUUCCUUGAUUUGAUCUAGUCGUUAAAACCAAAGUGGCGUAUUGUGGGAAAUUGGAUUUUCUCAACCUUUAGAACUAACGACAAGUAAAACAGAUAAGUAAUAAAAAGCAAGUAAAGAGAGAGAGGGAGAAAGAUAUUUUGGUCCAAAUCCGGAUCAUCUGUUCACCUGGACCUAUUUUGGGUUUUCUGACCCAUUUUCAUUUUAGGCCUUUGACCCCUAUUUUCCUUACCUGUCAUAGACUAAACAAUAAUAAAAAUAAGUAAAAUUUACAAGGCUUAAACCCGAAAAUAACAAAAUAUAUUUGUUCGAGAAUUGGCACUUUUUGACUCAUUUUCAGCUUUUUGAGGUCAUUGCUGAUCGUUUACUUGGGUUUUAACCCAAAUAAUAACAUCUUUCUUCUCUUUCGCAGCAUGAAGGUUGACACAAGGAGAAUUGAAUGCAAGGGGGUAGGGAGUCCGAGUGGACUCAACAUGGGAUAGUGUUCAUGCAAAGAAGAUAAAGGUAAUGAUUUAGCACAAGUGAAUUAAACAAGUAGGAGCUGAUAUUUAUAAAAUAAAGCAACUCAUAUAGCAUGUCAGAUAUUUGAUAUUCUAAUAAUAACCUAUCGUUGUUGACUAACUUAACACCAAUUUGUCUAUGAAUAAAUAAAACACCAAACUUCAUAUAACGUAGAAUAAUUAAAACGGCAAAGAAAAUAAUUAGACCGUACAGACAACAUAAUCAAUAUCUCAUUGAGCCAGAAUGUUCAAAAAAAAAAAAAAUUCUUAAGAAAUCACAACUAACUUUUCAUAACAUGUAUGGGCUAUGAAAAGUUACUCGAUCAGGAGAUAGCUCGAAUUCAUAAAUUAUAGAAUAGCAGAUGCAUAGUUAAGAAAAAUACACUGGGAUUUUAAUAUAAAUAAAGGGAUAAGCAUGAAUAUAAAGUUUCCGCCACAUAAAUCUCAAACAAAUAUUCAACCAACGAAACAACCUUAUAUAGAUUUGCAUUCACAAAUGAUCAAGUGUGUAGGUGUCCACCAAAUUUAAUUCCCAGGGAUGGAAGACAACAAACGAACAUAUUGAUGUCUAGAUUAUAAAGUUGACAACAAUUCCAACUAUACUGAGAAGACAUACUUAAAGAAAACAAGAAGAGAAAGAUAAAUAAAUAAAUAAAUAAAUUAGCCAACCAAACCUAAAACAAUAUUAAAGCUCCAGCUGAAACUCAAAAAAUUAGAACAAAUGUGCUUAUAACUACUGUAGCUUUCAAGAUGAAUUAUUUCCAAAUUUUUAUAUAAGCAUAUGAUUUUAUUGUGGCAGGUUUAUCAGUGAGUAAUCAAAAAAGCAAAAUAAUCACAUCCUCAAUUCCUACAACUUAAUUCAUAUCAGUGUAUUCAACUAGUCAUCUAAUUCGAGGGAGAAUAAUUUUAUCCUCUUCAUUUUCAAAUCUAACCAGAUAUAUUUCUAAGUGUAAACAAAUAUCAACAACCUUUCAAAAGGAUAUGCUGAGAAUUACAACCUAUAUAAAAUAAUCCGGUGCAGUAAACUCGGCCAAAUGCAACAUUUAAUCCGCUUAAAUAUAACAAAUACUCAGCCUCAAAACCAAACUAAAAGACACAACUAUAAACAACGACAAAUAAAAACAUGUAGGAGAAGGUCUAAAAGGGUGUCGAGGAAGGUCAUAAGUGAUAAAUAAAACAAAGAUCUAUAUACGAUAUCAUGCUCUCGAUACUCCCUAGGUGGAGAUUAACUACAAUCAAGCUUAGAUAAAAGAAACAUAACAAAAUAAAUUAAUAACAGGAAGGGGCAGAAAGCUACUACAAUUUGGCAUAUAAACCUAACAGCCACACCUAACACCAGAAAGUGUUCAAAGCUAAUGUACAGGGAAUCAAUGAUUCAUAAAAAAAAAAAAGCAAAAUCGGAAGCAAAUGUCAUCGCCUAAAAAAACUCAUGAUAUUCACGUCCAUGCUUAUGAAGACAACAUAAUUUGGUCCCAUCUCAUAUACCCGAAACCGAAUACGGAGUGAGCGGAAGAUGAAACACACAACAAUUUUUCAAAGUAUAAUGAACCACGAUGAACAGUUCCGGGCAGCCACAAAAGGAAAACACAUAUAUCAUACAUUAGCUCACCAAUAACAUAUAACCAUCAAUCGAUUAGGACGACUUUGCUCUCAUAAUGCGACUCUACCACAGAAAAGAAAAUGAAGGAAUAUAGGGAAGAAAUGUUACCUUUCAAAAUGCAGCGAACUAAGGAGAACGACGAGCAGGGGUAAUGUCUAGCUGUCAACACUAAAAUGCGCACACUAACCUGCAAAUAAGCGAGUCUGAGGGCGGAAUUUUGAACUCUAAGGAACCUUAGAAAGGUGAGGACGAACUAUGGGAGAAGAGAGAAACUUGGACAGUAACUAGUUCCCUUCCCUUUCCUUUCCUUGAAUGUGUGUUCUAUGUCUUGUGGCUACUUUGCCUUAUAUGUUUUCUCAAUGUCUUUGCUCUUAAGAAACUUCCAAGAUGAAGAAACAAACUCUAAGACUUUUGCUCAACUUUUCUUUCAACAAGAAAAAUAUAACAAGCUCCUCCAAAAUUCCUCUCUCUGUAACCCUUUUUUUUUUUUAAAAAAAACGAGAAUCAAAAUCAGAAAACAUUCCAAUCGUCCAACAAGAUUCCCCCCCCCCCCCCAAAAAAAAACCCGUAGUCCCUGCCUCCAAAAUCCUCAAAAAAAAUAAUCCGUCCCAAAAAAAAAUCCCUUGACUUGAUGGAGAAACGAGAAUAUAUAGAAAAAGGGUUAGGGUUUUUGGAUUGGGGGGAAAGGCGAGGAAAAAAUUGAACUUUCAAGCCCCCUUUUGAAUUUUUUUUAAUUCCCCAAACCUCGCUGUAUUUGGACGAACACACCUUUUUUGAGGUUCUUGUCCCAUUCCAGAAAAAGAAGGGCGGACUAACGACUACAUCGGAUCGAUCGUCCUUGACGGAGCAACGUGGCUCCAUCCUACGCUAUCAAGGACGCAACAAUAGCUGGAAUCGUGGCCAAAGUUGCACAACCGUACGAUUCGAUAUCAACAAGGAGAAGAAAACAAAAUCAAAUCGUACUCUCUCCGGCCAUUCGCUGCUUUCCAUGUAAAUUGACGCCUUCCGUGAACUUGCCCGCGCGUGGAGAGGAUUAGAGCGCGUACCGGAGUGACAGGUUUUGUUCACGCGUGCCAUCGCAUGCCCUCUGUCAACGUCGCCAUCUAUUCCGUCAUCCUUUUUGACCGUUGGCCGCCACUUUCGUUAACUCGCUCUCGUGUGGGAAGGACGAGGAUGGCAGGGCAUUGCUGGAGACGUUCACGCGUCUUUGCGCCGUCACCGUCACUGUAUCGCUAUAAGAGAAAGUUGGGGAAUCUGGAUGGGUAUUGCCUUUGUUCUGAUUUUCCGUGGGGGUAAAGAUUUGGGUCGGAUCGAGAAACAAGGUGGGCUGGAGGACAUUUUGCUCCACAAAUAGUGAUAAAAUGACUAUGUUUUUCAUAUAUAAAACGGAUAAAUAGAUUUGUAGGCAUAUGGAAUUCAGAAUAUCUGAAUUAGAUCUAUUUCACGAGUUCUACUAAAAUUUGCAUAAAGUAAAUUGGCAAUAAUUAAUGAAUGAGCUUCUAGACUUUGAGAAGAUGAAAUAAUUAACUCCACUGCAAACUUGUAACUCGAAAAUAUAAUUACUAAUCUAGACGAUAUUUAUUUAAUACAAUAUUAAGUAAAACUAAAAUCUUUUUUAGGCGGUUUUCAAAUACUUUAAACUAAUUAUGUAAAACAUAUAAAAACACAUAUCACUUAGAACACCAUAAAAUAUUGACUAAAGCUACCUUAAAGGUGUAACGACCUGUUUAGUCGUUUUGAACAGCAGAUUUUAUUUCUAGAAAAAACAGGCUGAGGCGACGGACCCCACGACGGACCGUCAUGGGCACGACGGACCGUCGCAGGGUCUCGUUUCAAAACACUUAGAAAAUCUGAAAUGGGGUACUGAAAAUCGACUCUCUGAACUUUGUAACGGAAUGGCAGGACGAACCGUCACAGGUGUGGCGGACCGUCACA